rnacentral:tRNA from 1 species
GGCGCUGUGGUCUAGUCGUAUGAUUCUCGCUUCGGGUGCGAGAGGUCCGGGGUUCAAUUCCCCGCAGCGCCC